CCUACGGGAGGCUGCAGUGGGGGAUAUUGCACAAUGGGGGGAACCCUGAUGCAGCGACGCCGCGUGGGUGAAGAAGCGCCUCGGCGCGUAAAGCCCUGUCAGCAGGGAAGAAAAUGACGGUACCUGAAGAAGAAGCCCCGGCUAACUACGUGCCAGCAGCCGCGGUAAUAGGUAGGGGGCAAGCGUUAUCCGGAUUUACUGGGUGUAAAGGGGGCGCAGACGGCGAUGCAAGCCAGGAGUGAAAGCCCGGGGCGCAACCCCGGGACUGCUCUUGGAACUGCGUGGCGGGAGUGCAGGAGGGGCAGGCGGAAUUCCUGGUGUAGCGGUGAAAUGCGUAGAUAUCAGGAGGAACACCGGUGGCGAAGGCGGCCUGCUGGACUGCAACUGACGUUGAGGCCCGAAAGCGUGGGGAGCAAACAGGAUUAGAUACCCCGGUAGUC
rnacentral:rRNA from 1 species